rnacentral:misc_RNA from 1 species
UCUCCGUAGGUGAACCUGCGGAGGGAUCAUUACAAGUGACCCCGGUCUUACCACCGGGAUGUUCAUAACCCUUUGUUGUCCGACUCUGUUGCCUCGGGGGCGACCCGGCGCUUCGGCGCCAGGGGGUCCCCGCUGGUCCACACAACUCUGCAUCUUUGCGUCUGAGUAAACAUUAAAUGAAACAAAACUUUCAACAACGGAUCUCUUGGUUCUGGCAUCGAUGAAGAACGCAGC